CUACGGGAGGCAGCAGUGAGGAAUAUUGCACAAUGGGGGGAACCCUGAUGCAGCAACGCCGCGUGGAGGAUGACGCAUUUCGGUGUGUAAACUCCUUUUAUAUGUCAAGAAAAUGACGGUAGCAUAUGAAUAAGCGCCGGCUAACUCCGUGCCAGCAGCCGCGGUAAUACGGAGGGCGCAAGCGUUACUCGGAAUCACUGGGCGUAAAGGACGCGUAGGCGGGAUUGUAAGUCAGGUGUGAAAUCCUAUGGCUCAACCAUAGAACUGCACUUGAAACUACAAACCUAGAGUAUGGGAGGGGCAGAUGGAAUUAGUGGUGUAGGGGUAAUAUCCGUAGAUAUCACUAGGAAUACCGAAAGCGAAGGCGAUCUGCUGGAACAUUACUGACGCUGAGGCGUGAAAGCGUGGGGAGCAAACAGGAUUAGAUACCCCGGUAGUC
rnacentral:rRNA from 1 species